CGGGUUAUAUGCCUUUAUUGUCACAUUUUGCUUUUUUCGUUGGGCCAUUGCGAUAAGUACUGAUCUUCCAGCGAAUGAAUUGACAAGCCCGAACCAAGGUUCGGGCUUUUUUUCGUCCUGACGA
rnacentral:sRNA from 1 species